GGGGAAGACCUAGAGGUGUUGUAGCUCCUUGAAAUACUCGUCCCCUCAGCUGAGAAUGAUGCUUCCUUCCAUUCCCUUACAAAAGAUGUCCGGACACACCCUUCCAAGCUUUUGUUAGUUUGGCGGUCAAACAUAUUAGUGUUCUUGGGCGUUUCUCAGGAAUGCUUACCUCUUUUUUACUGGGUCGUUGGGGGCCUUUUAUAGUGUCUGAAGCCCCGUCACUUUGAAAAUGGGAGGACUCUUUGACUUUCGCAGUCAUGAUGGUGCUCAGAGGGUGGUAGAGCCAUCAUUAUCCUGGAGGCGGCUGGCAGAGAUUGUUGGGGGGAUGACUUGUCGUCCCACUUGUCUUUUCACUCUACAGGCGGUGUAGGGCAGGUCGUAGCAGGUCAUCUGAAAAGACCUGGGAAUGUCUUGUCGAGUAUGCUUUUAACAAAAUGAGUAAUGAUUGCCCGCGAAAUAUGGUCAGGGAUCCUGUUUGGGACAACAACUACCGAGUCCGGACUGGUCGUCCGGACAGAGGGUAGGACGUGCCACAUGUUUGCUUAGGGGUGGUCCCUACACUUACCUCUCUUAAAAAGCUCACCAUUGCUAGCAUAUUUCCAUAAGUUUCAAAUGCUCAAAGACUACCGCGUCUUCCUACAACCCUUACCUUUCUUUGCAUUAAAGAUUUCUAGAAUCUGAAAUCUCUGUCCUCUCUGACUCUCCAAACCCUCACCUCACUUGAAGAGUUAUGGAUCUUAUGUUGCCCUAAGCUUCAGUUGUUUUGCCCAAGGGAAGGGCUGCUUAACACUUUUUCACUACUAUAUAUCACAGACUGCCCACUCCUCAAACAAAGGUGCUCAAAGGGGAAAUGACAAGAUUAGCCCAACAUCGCCUAUAUUCCCUAUGUGGAAAUGGAUAAUGAAAAUGUCUUUGAGCAAUAAUAAGAUGAGGGAUUGCAAAACAUAGAAACAAACACCAUUCAACCCUCACCCAUCUUUUAUUUAAAUAAGGUACGCCCGUUCUUUCUUUUUCACUCCUUAAUACCGCAUUCAAUUUCUCAUAUACGUUAUAGCAGUUUCCCCUAUUGAUUACUUGUAAGUUUCUUACUGGAAUUUUUAUUGAAAAUUUGCCUAGGAAAUGACUUUUGAAAUGGCUUGUAGCUUGGUUUUCUCUUCAAUCUGCCAUAAUUCUAGGUAUCACUGUCUCUGCCUCUCCAAUUCUAUUUAUGAAAUCUUGUCCAUAAACUCCUUGAGGUAGUCACUUUUCUUUUUCCUUUGUUCUUUUUAGUUCUCAGUGACCAUUGAAGUUGAAGAGGUGAUAUGUGAUACUUACGACUAUAAAAAGGAUAAGAGAGAAUCCAUUUAUUCCAUUCAAGGACAGGUGAAACAUUUAGCAAUAGCCACUAGUUAGUAAUGUCUUAUUCUGAUUUUUAUUCCAUCAAUUGUACUAUUCAAUUGCAUUUUUAAAUAUAAUAUUCUAAUUUCCAGAAUAGUGUUCAGGCUGACAUACAGAGGAGGCUAUACUAGAAGCAAAUGUAGUUUAUUAAUAUUCAAUUGUUGUGGUAAUUAGAUGGCUUUAUCAAUUCCUUUGUGCAGCCAUGAUUUUUUUAGUUCAACUUAUUAGAUAUCAUCAUAACUACUAUACAGUGUCUUGUCAUCUUGUUAUCAAAUUUUUACAUUUAUGAUGCAGGUUCUCAAAGAGGAUGGAACUUUGAUUAUUAUAUCAAACACUUCAAAGUAUGGAUGAAUGCAGCUAGUUCCGGUUGUCCCAUGUGCUCUUUUUUUAUUUAUUGUUUUUGAGUGUCAACAUAGGACAAAGAAUAACCCAGCAAGACUAUAGUGAGUGACCGUCAUCUAUAUAUUUUGUUUAUUUAUUUUUAUAUUUUAAUGACUAAUUUUCUUCUUGUCCAUUGGAUGUUCAUUCCCAACAUGCAGUUCUUCCUCUUUCUCUCCUUAAUACCACUUUUUAUUUCCCAUACACAUGUUAUUUCAAUUUGUUUCCAUUUAGCUUGGCUACCUCUUAACAGUAAUAAUAAGUCUUACAGUUUUUAUGUACCAAAUUGUUUACAUUGAUGAUGCAGGUGUCAAAAGGAUGGGUUCAAAGUAUCAUAGGAGGUACAUGUGGUCUUUUUAUUGUGCUGACUGAUUGGAAUUUUCCUCCUAUAUCAAAGGCUCGUUGGCACUUUAUUACCAUUUUUUAGUAUGACAAAAAGAGGAUAAAAUACAAUCUAGCAAAAUUGUGGUCCAUGACUUUCAUUUAUAUAGUUGAUUCUACAUAUGAUUGUGUUCUAAGGACUAUCUUUGUAAAAUUUUCUUCCUUUUAUGACUUAUGAUAGAUUCUACAAUGCUUUAUAAAGGUCCUCUGAAUCAAGAUUUCAUCUGCAUCUUUAAUAAAUAAGAACCUGUUUUCUUCCCCUCCUGGGGAAGUUGCUCAUAACACUAUAUGAUCUUUAUAUAUCCUUUGAAAGUUGAGAACCAUCCAAUGCAUGAAACUUGUCUUUCACAAGAAACCAACUGGUAUUUUCUUUGUGACUGUGAUAGCCCAAAACUACCUAAUGGAAUUAUGACAUAGCAACAACAGCAACUUGUAUUUGUUCUAAUGUAUCCAACUUGUUUCCAAAAUGUGAGCUACUAUCAUAUUUACAUACGCCUAGUAGUAUAGAUUUGAGCAAAAACAAAAUGGUUUUGCGUCCAAUUUCUAAAGUUUUUAAUUUGAUGAAACUAUAUCUCUUCUUUUGGAGUUUGUAGAUUUUAAAGGUGCAUGUCCUAGGUGCUAGAGUAUAAGUAUUUUUCUUCUUAUUGAAGGGAAUUUAGGUUUUACAUUUAGAGGCUCCAAGUCUAUAGUGAUUGUGGCAAAUGCCUGUUGCACUUGUUAUUUUUGUUUCUAUUGUUGAUGUUGAGGGUGUAGAAAGGGGAUAAACAAAAGCAUAACAAGAUCAUGGUGUGUUACGAUUUUUAUUGGUCUUUUUAGAUUCCUAUUUUUAUUGACUUUUUUUUUCUUCUAAAUUUUCUAUGUUUAUGACUUGAGGUGUUCCCUAAACACUUGCGACAGAGAGGAUUUUGGCACCAGAAUAAUCCUUGGACAUUGCUUAGUUCACUUGUCUUCCAUAGAUAUGAACUUAUUUUUUGUGCCAUUUUGGAGAAGUUACCAGUAAGACUGAAUAGUCACAGAUCUCUUGGAGGGUUGAGAAUCACACAUUUCUUUGGGCUCUUUUUGAGGAUUGGUUUGUCAUCCAUGCUAUGAAGUCUUAUGCUCAGUUGUUGUGAUGGUUUGAAAUUACUCUCUGAUGAAACUAUGACCUAUAUAAACAACUGCUUGCAUUUGUUUUACAUAGAUGAAUUGCUUGUCUUUUUACAUUAUUUUGCAGAAAGGAUUUUUAUGAGCACUACUAUUUUUUUUCCAUAUCCUUUUAUAUUGAUGCAUUUCAUAUUACUCCUUUCAGGUGGAUGCGCAAUGUUGAUCAACUCUCCUCCUUUUGGAUGUCUUUCUAACCAUUGUUAGGAUUUAUUAAAAUCAAACCUACGUAUUUUUUCAAGUCAGUUAUAACUUGUACAAGCCUUAUGUAACUCGAAAUGCUUUAUUUUUAAAACAGUUCAUGUCUACUAGCAACUUACGUGUUUUUCACUACAUUUUUUUUCAACGAGGAAAUGAGGCAUUUUUCUUUAGUAGUAUAUUGUGAUUCACAAAGUAUAAACUCUUGCAGAUUGAAAGAAAGACAAUUUACAUAUCAUUCAACAGUAAUCAGUAAGCACUUUUAUAUGUUUAUAGUUUCUUCUUAUACGGUUUGUCUUUUAUGGCAUUUACUCUUUUCUUAUUCACAUAAAAAAACACCCAAUUUACCUUUCAAAUAUAAAAUUCAGUUAUGCAGGAAGGCCAUAAAUUGAAUAUGAUAAGAUGGGAAAUGUGUUUCAAGACAACUUUGUGUUCUUGCAUUAUAAGGUUUAGUAAUUGUGUGUAGUUCUACAAUAAACAACAUUUUGAUUAGAUACUAAAAUAAAUAGAGUAAGAAUCUAUUAGUAUAGAAAGGAUUUGUAUGAUAUCUGAUCUAGAGAAAUAUAUAUAUAUAUAUAUAUAUAUAUAUAUUAUACUGUGUCAUCCAGAAAAUUGAGUGAUUCCUUAUUUCUUUUAACUUUGAAAUGAUCGAUAGAUACUAUCGAGGAGCAAAUGUUCUAAAUCAAUCAAUCAAUUUCAUUUUUCAAAAACAUCAUUAGAAAAAAAAAAUGAAAUGGAGUUUUUUUAAACAUCGUAAAAGAAGAUUUGUUUUGUCUAGCAUUUAUACGAAUAAAAUCUUAUGAUUAUUAAGAACUCAACCGGACCUUCCCUCUCGAAUCAGAGCCAAAGAGGGGAUGGGUCCCAUUGAGUUCUUACGCUUUCAUGUUGACAACUCAAUUCAUCCAAUUACUACAAGGAACCAUAAAAGAAAAAGCCUAUUAAACCAAUCACAGGAAUACCAGUUACAGUACCUAUUAGCCAAAGAGGAAUCCUUCCAAUAGUAAUGGCCAUUUACCCCACUUUCCUCCACAUUUCAUCAAGUGGUCAUGCUAAAGACAUAAAUAGUCAUGGAUAAUUAUGAGAUGAGAUCCUUUUGAAUAUGAUAAGAGAAUUCUUACCAUUAUUAUUUAUUUUAUUAGUCUAUUUCGUUCUCUUAAUUCUUAAUUGAAAAAAUAAUUGGAAAAUAAAACAACAAGUACAAAAAUGAGUAAUAACCCCCAAUAAAGACUGGCAAGAUUCAAUUCAACAUUUUGCUCGUUCGGGUUUGAUUGUGUUGUAGCUCUAUAAUUUGGAUUAGGUUUAUCGUUCGAUGAACUGCAUUGUUGAUAUUGACCCUAAAAAAGAAAUGGUAGGUACAGCUAGUUCGUAAACAGCCAAUCAUCGCACUGUAAAAAUUAGAUAGGUUCGAUCUAUGGUCAUUGGGGCCUCCUAAAAAGAUCUACUAAAUUCAUCGAAUUGUUCCAAAGGACCAAAAUGACCGGUUAUUAAUGGAAUUUCUUAUUGGCUCUCUAUAAAAUACUCGUCUG
rnacentral:lncRNA from 1 species